CCUACUUUCCCAUUUCUUCCCCCGAUUCUCUCUCUCUCGGCCAAAUAUCGAUUUCUCUCCUAUCUCCGUCUCCUCAUUCUAUAUCUCUCUCUCUUUUGGGUCUCGAGAACUCACUACCCCCGUGAAACUUCACGGCCACAAGUCUUCCACUGAUUCAAGUUAAAAGGGUUCACCCCCCUUUUUGACACCAUGGGCAAAGGGUGGUCUAAGCUGAACCAGAUGCAUGAUCUUCAUCUUAAGUAACAGCAGAUUGACCCAUUAGAGAGCAAACAUCUAGUGAGAGCUGGACCAAAUGAUCAUUUGCCCAGACCGUGUCAGACCGAAGAAGUCAUGUGUCAGAAGUCACCUGCUGCAUGUGCGGUACAAUACAUUCCAUAUGAGAGUCAUGGUGAGCCCUUGCCUCUUGCAACCGCGAAUCAAUGUAGGCAUGUUGUGUAGUAAGAAGCUCAUGAAGCUGGUCCACCUUCCGAGAUAGAGCAUUGAGCUGCUCUUGAAGAGAGGGACUAGAGGUCUGAUGCACUGAAGGUGAGGGUUCAGACUUCUUGCCCUCAACAGCAGCAGAAGAUUUUGUGAGAUUGUUGAUGCAUCAAUGGGAUCAAGGAUUCUCAGGGAAGGCUCAUAGUCGCGUAUGAGAGCAUUAUAAUGGGCAGACAUCUUGGUGAUAAGACAACCAAAAGGCAGGGAGACAUCCUGAACAACAUAAGCAUGAUGUAUAACACAGAUGAUAGGUGUAGGAAGAUCAACAGAGAAGUCAUGAAGGAGAGCAUAAUAAAAUUGAGGUUAUCAAUUGUGACCUCGGUGUGACGAUUAAGUGGUCAGUGAUUUGUAAGAACGAUCUUGGUGAAGUGCCGCUCAGCUGGCAUCAUCACAGAUAGAGAGGAAUGCGCUGUGAUCCCAUUUUCCACUGCUGAGGAAAACUAAAAAGAGUAGAAAGUAGAGCUGGUGUAAGAUCAAUAUGGAUUCCUCGAAGCACGACAUGAAUGCUAAUGCUAUGAGUGUCGAUGUCGAAGUGAGAAAUAUUAGCAUAGAAUUCAUGCACCAAUUCUACUGAAGGAGCAGGAAGAGGCUCAGCAAUAGCCAGCCAACUGCGCUCUCGAAAUAAGGUGGGAAUAAACUUAUUCGCAGGAGCAGAGAAACUAGAAAGACCAAUUAUACUGAGCUCUCUUGAUUACUUUGACCUGUGGUUGAAGAAUACAAAGCAUAGGUCAUAGGGAAAGUAAAUGGAGUUGAAGAUAAGAUAAUCUAGAUAAUCAUGAAAUUCAAAUCUUUUGAUAAGCUAAA